rnacentral:lncRNA from 1 species
UAACAUCUUUUACUAUAUUCACAUUGAGUUUGAUCGAGCUGUGUAGACCCUUAGGAGCUUUUCAUGUGGUUAAAUUAAGAUAUUCACUUGCACACAUCUACUACACCAUCCACCACCAUUUAUUAAAAUUGCUAAAAAUAAUAUUAUCACUCACUGUCCCAAGUAUUGUUAUUCUCUCUCUCUAAAAAGAUUCAAUGCAGAAGAGGCAUGGGUUAUGCAAAAAUAUGCGAGGAAAUAAAAAGGGGCAAGUGCCCGGAACCUCGAAAAAGAAAGAAAAAGAGUGAGACGAGAGGUAAAAAUGGACAAGUGUCCGAAGUAGAAUUAGGGGUACAAAGAUGCCCACUU